rnacentral:snRNA from 1 species
GGUCGCCGGUUCGAUUCCGGCAUUCUCCA